rnacentral:lncRNA from 1 species
ACCAUCAACAACAACAACACACACACACACACACACACACACACACACACACACCACAUGAUUGCUUGCUUGCUUAGGGAGGAAUCAGAGCUUCAAAAGUGAGCUGAUUCCAGCCACCAGCUGUCAUCAUAUGAGGAGCUCUUGUGAGUUGAUCGCCCAUGAAAGAGGAAUGAGCCUCUAAACAUGGCCACAGCUCAGUGAUACUGACCAACCAGACAUACCUUUGCUGGACCUAUGCAAACAUGAAACAGCCUUUUCACAUUCAGUUAAGAUUUCAUGAAGAGUUGUAAGAGAAAAGCUUUUCCAGACCCAGCCAUGAGUACUCUGCUUUACUCAGAAGAACCACAAACUUUGAACAGCUUGAUAAUCCAGCAUUUCUGAAACUUUUCUUUGCAUGUGUGUCACUGAGGUAUCUUAUUAAAGCACAUAUUCUAAUUCUUUGGUCUGAGAUGGGGACUAAGAUUCUGCAUUUCUAACAACUUCCAAGUGAUGCUAAUGUGUUCCUGAUGCUGGGACCCUAUUUUAAGUAGCAAAGGUCUUGUUGGAAUCAACCCAACCAAUGGAAGGCAAACAAUCACAAUUCUUGACUGUGAGUUUUGGACAAUGAUUGUCUAUGUUCAGAUGGAAUUUUAUGAAGCUAAACGUUACCUUUGGCCUGUAUAGUGAGUAUACUACAACUCAAGUGGAGGGGUGUGUGUUCAUAUUUUCUCUCAAAAACAAAGCUGAAAAGCCAAUGGGCACAUGGGCAGCAAGGAGAAGGAUGCUAGAAUAAAAUCUUAU